rnacentral:sRNA from 1 species
AGUAAAAACCAUUAUAUAUCAAUAUCCAAACGCAAUUCGAACCGAAAUCUGAAUGUUUAUAUCUAGAUAGCGGUAUGUCUUUUUGGCCUAGUUAAUGCAUUUUCAUGUUUCAAACGGCUUGUCAACGUUUAAUUCAUAUAUAAAAUGCUUACAUAUGAAUUUGAUGUAUAAAACGGUAACAAUUUGAAAAAUUUGGGUAUUAAAUGAUAUUUUUCCAAUUUGAUUGGUCAAACAAAAAGAAAAGGGUA